ensembl:snRNA U6 U6 spliceosomal RNA
GGGCUCAAGUCGGCAGCACAUAUUCUAAAUUUGGAACCAUACAGAGCAGAUUAGUGUGGCCCCUGCACAAGGAUGACACACAAAUUCAUGAAGCAUUCCAUAUUAAA